UGAGGAAUAUUGGUCAAUGGUCGGGAGACUGAACCAGCCAAGCCGCGUGAGGGAUGAAGGUGCUAAGCAUUGUAAACCUCUUUUGUCAGGGAACAAAGGCAUCCACGAGUGGAUGUGUGAGUGUACCUGAAGAAAAAGCAUCGGCUAACUCCGUGCCAGCAGCCGCGGUAAUACGGAGGAUGCGAGCGUUAUCCGGAUUUAUUGGGUUUAAAGGGUGCGUAGGCGGCCUGUUAAGUCAGCGGUAAAAGGCCCAGGGGCUCAACCCCGGCGAGCCGUUGAAACUGGCUGGCUGGAGUUGGCGAGAGGUAUGCGGAAUGCGCGGUGUAGCGGUGAAAUGCUUAGAUAUCGCGCAGAACUCUGAUUGCGAAGGCAGCAUGCCGGCGCCACACUGACGCUGAGGCACGAAAGCGUGGGGAUCAAACAGGAUUAGAUACC
rnacentral:rRNA from 1 species